rnacentral:lncRNA from 1 species
AGCUGGGAUGAAGCAGGGGCAAAGGGGAAAGAGGCAGGACAAAAGCCUAUGUCUUCCUUAUCACACUGUAAUCUGAAUCUGGUUCCUCCUCCCGAGGCCUCUGAGCAGCUAUCCUGUUGGUGUUAGAAUCAAACACCACCGAGGCAUAGUGAAGUUCUUCCCUGGGGGAGGCCUGCAGAGAGAAACCAAGAAACUGAAGACUUGGGAGAGGCAAGGGAAGAAAGGACCCCCAACAUAGGAUGGAGGAGGGAGGACACCUGAGGGGCUUUGGGGAGGCCUCACUGUAGAGGCUCCACUGUCCUGGCCUCUUUUUCUCUAUGAUCCUGUCCACCCAGCUGCUCCUCCCCAACUGGGCAAGCAGCAGCACAACAUCCCCAGCAUCAGAGGCAGGAGGCUCCGGGGGCUCCUCAGGGCUGACCCAGCCUGGUCCAUUCUACAGGGAAGAAACUGAGGCCCUGAGACCUGGCUGGGCUCCCCCAAGACACCUCUGUGCUUCUCUUAAUGAAAUAUUCUUGAGGCCAGGCACAGUGGCUCACGCCCUUAAUCCCAGCACUUUGGGAGGCCAAGGCGGGUGGAUCACUUGAUGUCAGGAGUUUGAGACCAGCCUGGGUAACAUAGUGAAACCCAGUAUCUACUAAAAAUACAAAAACUAGCUGGGCGUGGUGGUGGACACCUGUAAUCCCAGCUACUUGGGAGGCUGAGGCAGGAGGAUCGCUUGAACCGGGGAGGCGGAGGUUGCAAUGGCCAAGAUUGCACCACUGCUCUCCAGCCUGGCGACAGAGUGGGACUCUGUCUCAAAAAAAAAAAAGAAAAAAAGAAAAGAAAAGAAAAAAAAAGGAAAGUUCUCACAACGAAGCAGCCAUGGAUCCCUUUCUGCAGAGGACCCCUCGUUCUCUAGGUGGAGUUGAAGCCAGUACAGGGGUACUGCGUUGGCCCUGCAGCUCUGAUUAACUUGCUGUACUGUGGGCAUGAGUCCCAACUUGUACCAAGGGGGCUGGGAGAAGAGUAAGACCAUGUGCCAUCCACUUUAAAUCAUGAGACAACAAGUUAGAACAAGGCUGUUGCUGGUCCCAGGCCAUGCAGCUUCGUGGACACAAGAUCAUGUCAUGCAAGGAAGGAGUCAGGCUUGAGUGCAGGGGCGCUCAGAAACUUGGCCAGGAGCUGGCCGGGUGUGGUGGCUCAGUACUGUAAUCCCAGCACUUUGGGAAGUCAGGGCAGGCGGAUCACUUGAGGUCAGGAGUCCGAGACCAGCCUGGCCAACAUGGUGAAGCCCCGUCUCUACUAAAAAUACAAAAAUCAGCCAGUGUAGUGGCAGGUGUCUGUAGUCCCAGCUACUCUGGAGGCUGAGGCAGGAGAAUUGCUUGAACCUGGGAGGCAGAGAUUGCAGUGAGCCAAGACUGUGCCACUGCAUUCCAGCCUGGGGGAUAGAGCGAGAUUCCAAAGAAAGAAAGAAAGAAAGAAAGAAAGAAAGAAAGGAAGGAAGGAAGGAAGGAACUUGGCCAGGAGCCAUCCAGGACCCUGGGCCCCCAGACCACCCUCAUCCUCAUGCAGACAGCUGGCGGGAGGUUGGGGAACGGUGCGGCUAUCAGGGGACCCGGAAGUGGCAGGUCUGGAUCCCCUCUUCUCCUGUCAGGUGCAAAACGGCGGCCUGGGGAGAACGGUACCAGGCUGGAGAUAUCCCAGGGAGUUGGGCCACUUUUCCAGGCAGACCAGCAACAAUGUCCCCUGUCACCCUGGUGCCAGCCCUCCAUGGCACCACACGACUUGUCUGAGGGGCCUCUUCAGCUCCCAGGCCUGGGGGCACUUUAAGCUUCCCUGCUGAUGCUUACAUCCCUCCCGAUCCUCUCUGCCAAGUGACCCCCAGCUUCUGCUUGAACUCUCCCACUAGCAGGUGGGUCACGACCCAGGGAGGCAGCCCCCAUCCCAUCAUCCCAGUUGAAGGUGGCUGCGCCCAAGGGUUGACCCACAGCGGGUCACAGACAAAAACCCGAAAGCAGAAUUGAUGUCAAAGAGAUGAUGAGACCAAAACAGUGAGAAGUCACAGGUUCUCAGCUUGGCUCACGAUACACAGCAGGUGCUUAACCCAUGCUGGACUUCACGGACUGUCAGAGCCAUAGCUGCUGGCCACCCCCAAAAACCCCCCACCACAAUGACACCAAGCCCUCCUAAGGACCUCUGCUCUGGCAAAAUCUACACUUGCUCCAUCUCCAUGUGGCCCUGUCCCUGACAGGCACAAGAUCACCAAGCCGACCCCUUCCUUCCCCUUCUGCCCACCCUCCCAGGGGUGCCCUGGCACAGCCCAGGGGCCGCAUGCCCAAAAGCCGGGCUCCUGCACUUA